UCCACCAGUGAUGAUUCAUGAUUUAUGACUUUCGUUCUUCUGAGUUAUCUGAAGCAACUCUUAAUCUGACGAGGA